UACGUAGGGUGCGAGCGUUGUCCGGAAUUAUUGGGCGUAAAGAGCUCGUAGGCGGUGUGUCACGUCGGCCGUGAAAACCUGCAGCUUAACUGUGGGCGUGCGGUCGAUACGGGCAUCACUGGAGUUCGGCAGGGGAGACUGGAAUUCCUGGUGUAGCGGUGAAAUGACGCAGAUAUCAGGAGGAACACCGGUGGCGAAGGCGGGUCUCUGGGCCGAUACUGACGCUGAGGAGCGAAAGCGUGGGGAGCGAACGGG
rnacentral:rRNA from 1 species